rnacentral:rRNA from 1 species
GAUGAACGCUGGCGGCGUGCCUAAUACAUGCAAGUCGAGCGAACGGACGAGAAGCUUGCUUCUCUGAUGUUAGCGGCGGACGGGUGAGUAACACGUGGAUAACCUACCUAUAAGACUGGGAUAACUUCGGGAAACCGGAGCUAAUACCGGAUAAUAUUUUGAACCGCAUGGUUCAAAAGUGAAAGACGGUCUUGCUGUCACUUAUAGAUGGAUCCGCGCUGCAUUAGCUAGUUGGUAAGGUAACGGCUUACCAAGGCAACGAUGCAUAGCCGACCUGAGAGAGUGAUCGGCCACACUGGAACUGAGACACGGUCCAGACUCCUACGGGAGGCAGCAGUAGGGCAUCUUCCGCAAUGGGCGAAAUCCUGACGGAGCAACGCUGCGUGAGUGAUGAAGGUCUUCGGAUCGUAAAACUCUGUUAUUAGGGAAGAACAUAUGUGUAAGUAACUGUGCACAUCUUGACGGUACCUACUCAGAAAGCCCCGGCUAACUACGUG